CCUACGGGAGGCAGCAGUGGGGAAUAUUGCGCAAUGGGCGAAAGCCUGACGCAGCGACGCCGCGUGAGGGAUGAAGGUCUUCGGAUCGUAAACCUCUGUCAGCCGGGAAGAACGGUCACUGUGCUAAUCAGCAGUGAAUUGACGGUACCUGCAAAGGAAGCACCGGCUAACUCCGUACCAGCAGCCGCGGUAAUACGGGGGGUGCGAGCGUUAAUCGGAAUUACUGGGCGUAAAGCGCUCGUAGGCGGUAUGUCAAGUCAAGGGUGAAAUCCCCGCGCUCAACGUGGGAACUGCCUUUGAAAAGGGCAAACUGGAGUGUGUGAGAGGAUAGGGGAAUUCCAGGUGGAGGAGUG
rnacentral:rRNA from 1 species